rnacentral:piRNA from 1 species
UGUCAGUAGAUAUCCUGGCUCGUUUUUCUGC